rnacentral:rRNA from 1 species
UGGGGAAUUUUGGACAAUGGGGGAAACCCUGAUCCAGCCAUCCCGCGUGUGCGAUGAAGGCCUUCGGGUUGUAAAGCACUUUUGGCAGGAAAGAAACGUCGCGGGUUAAUACCCCGCGAAACUGACGGUACCUGCAGAAUAAGCACCGGCUAACUACGUGCCAGCAGCCGCGGUAAUACGUAGGGUGCAAGCGUUAAUCGGAAUUACUGGGCGUAAAGCGUGCGCAGGCGGUUCGGAAAGAAAGAUGUGAAAUCCCAGAGCUUAACUUUGGAACUGCAUUUUUAACUACCGGGCUAGAGUGUGUCAGAGGGAGGUGGAAUUCCGCGUGUAGCAGUGAAAUGCGUAGAUAUGCGGAGGAACACCGAUGGCGGAGGCAGCCUCCUGGGAUAACACUGACGCUCAUGCACGAAAGCGUGGGGAGCAAACAGGAUUAGAUACCCUGGUAGUCCACGCCCUAAACGAUGUCAACUAGCUGUUGGGGCCUUCGGGCCUUGGUAGCGCAGCUAACGCGUGAAGUUGACCGCCUGGGGAGUACGGUCGCAAGAUUAAAACUCAAAGGAAUUGG